rnacentral:rRNA from 1 species
UCCAGACUCCUACGGGAGGCAGCAGUGAGGAAUAUUGGUCAAUGGGCGCGAGCCUGAACCAGCCAAGUCGCGUGAGGGAUGACGGUCCUACGGAUUGUAAACCUCUUUUGCCGGGGAGCAAGCGUGCGUUCGUGAACGCGCGUCGAGAGUACCCGGAGAAAAAGCAUCGGCUAACUCCGUGCCAGCAGCCGCGGUAAUACGGAGGAUGCGAGCGUUAUCCGGAUUUAUUGGGUUUAAAGGGUGCGUAGGCGGGCUUUUAAGUCAGCGGUAAAAAUUCGGGGCUCAACCCCGUCCGGCCGUUGAAACUGGGGGCCUUGAGUGGGCGAGAAGAAGGCGGAAUGCGUGGUGUAGCGGUGAAAUGCAUAGAUAUCACGCAGAACCCCGAUUGCGAAGGCAGCCUUCCGGCGCCCUACUGACGCUGAGGCACGAAAGUGCGGGGAUCGAACAGGAUUAGAUACCCUAGUAAG